CCACCUACGGGAGGCAGCAGUCGGGAAUAUUGCGCAAUGGAGGAAACUCUGACGCAGUGACGCCGCGUAUAGGAAGAAGUUUUUCGGAAUGUAAACUAUUGUCGUUAGGGAAGAGAAAGGACAGUACCUAAGGAGGAAGCUCCGGCUAACUACGUGCCAGCAGCCGCGGUAAUACGUAGGGGGCGAGCGUUAUCCGGAUUCAUUGGGCGUAAAGCGCGCGCAGGCGGACCGUUAAGCGGGACCUCUAAUCCUGGGGCUCAACCUCAGGCCGGGUCCCGAACUGGCGGUCUCGAGUGCGGUAGGGG
rnacentral:rRNA from 1 species